UUCAGUAAGUUCAAUGUAGGGUGGACCACAUGCACAGCCCCUUAGUUGUCAAUAGAUAUAAGGUCAUUUUCUUCAGCGUCACUAGUGAUCUGUCACAACAUCACACGUGAGUCUCCACAUCCUCCUCUGUAGGUUUUUCUGUGUCCUACCAAACACACAUCAGUUCUCACAUCACAAUCUAUGUGUGGAGUUCACUUCACUGACGGAAAGAAGUGGAAAAUAUGUCUUUGUCUUAUAUUCUUCUCAUUUAUGUUGCCGGUGUUGCGGUAAAAGGAAGUUGUGCAGAUUCAGUUCCCACUCCCACUAUUGUAUUUUCCCCUGGGUACAUCAAUGUAGCUACACCUGUUACAGUACGCUGUGAGUUACCAGAAGGCACAGAGUGCAAUUUCUACAGAGAUCAGGACCCCAAACCUAUAAGAAAAGUGGAUUACAAGCAAGGUGCUUGCCAGUUCAAGUUGUUAUGGAAUGAGUUCAAAAAGUGGAACAAGACUGAAGUAGAUCUCAGCUGUGUAAUUCUACAGAACAGACAAGGUGAAACGAUCAAAACCUCUAAACCCAGUGACGCUCGAAGACUUAAUGUGGGUGGUAAGUGACAGUAUUAAAGUACUCCAAACCACAUGUUUACCAGAGUACACUUCCCACUUGUUAAAUGACUUCAUAAAUUACUUUCACAAUUUACUGACAGAUCCAAUUGGAAAGCCCAGAGUUAAUGUGGGGAAUAAUGGGAAUUACCUCAAUCUUCGAUGUGAGGCCAAGGCUGGCACCUCAUGCUACUUUUAUCUGAACAAUGGUGAUUCACACUUUAAAAAACUACCCUACAAAGACAAUGUCUGUGUGGGGAGAGUGGCAGAAGAGGAACUGCAGAGGAAGAGGAGCAGUGCUGGAGAGAUCUUCAUCACCUGUGCUGUGGAGCUGGUUGUAGAGGGUGAAGAUACUGUGACAUCACAGCAUAGUGAACCCCUCGGU